UAGCCGUAAACGAUACUCGCUAGGUGUCGGCCACGGUGCGACCGUUGUCGGUGCCGUAGGGAAGCCGUGAAGCGAGCCACCUGGGAAGUACGGCCGCAAGGCUGAAACUUAAAGGAAUUGGCGGGGGAACACAACAACGGGUGGAGCUUGCGGUUUAAUUGGAUUCAACGCCGGAAAUCUUACCGGGACCGACAGCAACAUGAAGGCCAGGCUGAAGACUUUGCCGGAUUAGCUGAGAGGUGGUGCAUGGCGUAGUCGUGU
rnacentral:rRNA from 1 species